CUCACAUGCCCGACGCCCCACCCUCUCCACCUCCCCUUCUCCCCCUACCCCCAGUAGCACCCAGGCCCAACAGCACAUGCAGUGGCCAGAUCCCAGAUCCAUCACGCUUCAUGUGCCUCACCGGAGGCGCACACGCAGAGUGAGGUGGGCUGCCCGCAUGCAAACGCCAUGGACCUCCGUCACGGGACGCCAACGCGUCUCGUCUGCCCGGUCGCGUCACCAGACGGUUGCUUGCCUGCUCCCUACCGACGCCAUCCCAUGCCCAGGAUGCCGCGCCAACCACGCCCCGACGUCCCUCCUCCCUCACCCCUGCGUCGGCCCCGUCGUCCGUCCCCGAGCGACCAAAACUCGUAACAAGGGAAUGUCGGGGUUCGUGGUGAUGGCAGCUGACACGGAGCCGCUCGAAAUCUUCCUCCACCCCCAUCCCGUUGCUCACGGACGACAACAAGCGACCACAUUCUCUUAACAGCGGGACAUCUGAGUUCGUCGUGGUGAUGGAAGCUGACACGGAGCCGCUCAAAAUCUCCUCGCCUCCCGUCAUGUUUCUUGCGGACAGCAAGAUGACCAAGCCCAAGGAGGAAGCAGUUGCUCAUCACUGAGGACAAGUAACUCCAGCAAGUUGACGCCGUAGAUUCAUAGUGUACCUUCUAUAUGCCCAUCCAGUUCUGUGAUUUGUGUCUUGAAACCCAAAAACCCCAUGCCCAUGUGGGAGCUGAACCAUAGUUUUUUUCUUGUGGAAAAUAAUAUCCUUGGCUGAAUCGACUUGAGGCGGUUUCUUCAAAAUUCUUGGAAA